UACGGAGGGUGCAAGCGUUAUCCGGAUUCACUGGGUUUAAAGGGUGCGUAGGAGGGCAGGUAAGUCAGUGGUGAAAUCUCCGAGCUUAACUUGGAAACUGCCGUUGAUACUAUCUGUCUUGAAUACCGUGGAGGCGAGCGGAAUAUGUCAUGUAGCGGUGAAAUGCUUAGAUAUGACAUAGAACACCAAUUGCGAAGGCAGCUCACUACACGAGCAUUGACUCUGAGGCACGAAAGCGUGGGGAUCAAACAGG
rnacentral:rRNA from 1 species